AAACACACGGAAAGGGAGUAUGAAUCAUCCCCAACAGGCAGUGAGUCAGAUGAGAUGACCCAGGUCUCCUGACACUGGUGCUGGGGGCCCAUUCACAAGGCCGGGCAUCCUGCCUACUGUUAUUUCCAAACAUUUAGUAUCGUCUGCAGCUUCAUGCCCCUUGCACCGGCUGGCUCACUUUUGAUUAAGUUGUUGGUUGUGAUACAAACAGGCAAGGGAUUCUGUCUUUUCUCCAUUCUAGAAGAACCUGAAACAUUUACAUAUUUUCCCAGGAGCUUUCAAUGUCCCAAAAUGUGGGCUUCUGAGGAAACCUUGUAAUGAGAAUUCUGAAGAGCUCCCUGACAAAAACAUAUUGGGCCAGGCCAAAAAUCCAGCUGAGGUUAGAAGUGGGGGACUCAUCCCCAGUUGGUGCUCUUUUCUGGUGGCUGAUACAUCUUUUCUAACACCUGGUGACAGUUUUUUACCUCUGUAGGUGCUGAGAAGCCUAAAAAACGGCUGUGGUGAGCUACUUCUUGUGGCAUCCAAGUAUUUUGAAACCCUGGGGAGACUUGUGAAAAGAAAGUGCUCCUGGGUCUUCCUGCAGGCCUUCCCGGGGGAAGAAGAAAAGGAACAAAUCCCUCUCUUAACUGGAUCCCUUCCCGGCUCAAUUUGGGGGAAUAUAAAAGAAAUCCAACUGGUUUUAGUCACUAAGGAUUACAAGCAACUGAAGAAGCUUUGCUGGCCAUCCUCUCCCAUCCUUUUAAAACUGUCAGUGGCAUCGCCUUCUUCGUUGCCCUGGGGGAGACAGUUUGGUGCUGUACUUCUUCAACAGAGAGACACAGAAUGCCAGCAGUGGAAGUAACAGCACCAAGAAGUUGUGGGAUCCAACCUCUUCCUGCAAGAAGAGGAAACAGAAAAGGGAGAGAAGAAAUGAUGUGUCCAAGGCCACCCAGCUCACUAGUGGUUGAGAAGAGGACCUGAGACUGAAUUUCAGGGUUAGUGUUUUUCCCCCAUACUGCACCACUUCAAAGGGGAACUCAUUUUGCA
rnacentral:lncRNA from 1 species